GACCUAAUGUUGUAGGCACUGAGAAUUGCCAUGCCCUACCUGUUAAACAGCUUUCCUUAUAUUGACCAGAUUUGAUGGUGCCAUUUCCUGGCCAAUUAGUAAACCCAAGAGUUACUGAAGGAAUAUCUGAGAAGCAGUUGCAGUCAGAAGAACAUUUGUGACAUCACAGAAGAAGCUAGGACUCUCCAGGAUAUGAGAGAUAUUUAAGGGAGGGCCUAAUGAUGCUGUUACUGAGAACUGCCAUGGCCUACCUGCUGAACAGCUUUCCUUACACUGACAUGAUUUGAGGGUGCCCAUUCCUCCAAAGCAAGGACAAGAUGAGUAUGGCAUUAAGUUCUCUAGUCCUAUUGGAUAUCAGUACUACACUAUCUACCUUCCUCUGUUCCCAUUGCUAGACUUGAGGGUCAGAUGUUUUAUCAUGAUUCUGUGAAGGCCAAAAAUAAGAUUUCGGAGAAUGGGCAGAAAGAAGAAUGGCUUGAGGACAAGUGAAACCUCAACUUCAAUAGGAAGAUUAUAUCACUGCGUCUGCCUAUGAAGACUUUGAUUACCUAUGAAGACCCAAGGAACUGUUUUCUCUCCAGCGAGCUGUUGAAUCAUCUGCAGAUACAUCUUUUUUAGGCAUGAAUCCUUCUCACUGGAGACCAGAGAAGAGACCUGCAGUUCCAUGGUUAAUACAUGUCAUUGCAAGACAUCAAAGCAAAAUGUAAAUGUGUGGAUGGAAUAAAUAAUUUAGGACAGUGUUGUGCAAGCAACUUAUUUCAUAGACAGUCUUUGAAGGAGAGCCCUGAAAUUUUGCAUUUCACAUUAGAGUUUUCUGGGACUCUGACUAGAAUCAACUCACAACUGCUUGAGAUUUUCUUGGCAAAUAACCAGUUUGUGAAUAGAGCUGAAUUCAUCAUAUGCUUUGCUAUCUACGUUAAUACUGCUACAGUGAGGAACAACUAUGCUAAAACUCUUCAUCUGAUUUUUCAAACAGCAUCCUUAUAUCAUUGUGGACUUCUGUGCUUAUGGGAGUAAAAGUUGAGAACACCAUUUGAGAGCUCUAAAUGCUGAAGUGGGAAAGGCCUGUAUGUAGAUUUUAUCAACUUCACAAUAUCCAUUGUUUUAAUGAUCAUUAGGAAGUAGAGUUCUGCAAAAUAAUUUCAGCAGAACAGAAUGGUAGAAAAACAGUUAUUGAUUUGCUGGAGAGUUAGAUCAACUGGAUUGCUAAUAUGGGCUUAGAGGCAGAGACACGUCAGCACAUGAAGUAUGGAUAAUCAAUUCUGUGUGAUCUGCAAACAGCAUCAUAUAAGCAUUGAGAAAUAGAAUAAAAGCCAAUAUUUUGAAAAUCCACGUCACAAGAAAAUACUGUCCCCCUCCAUGUCACACAUCAAUUCUCAGGUGUGCUGGCCUUCGGCAUGCAUGGAUGACAGCUGUCAGCAUGGGAUUUACUGCCAGCCUUUCCAUAACAGCAGAGCUCCAGUCUGCUUCAGCAAUGUCUUCAGCUCCCCAUUCUGUUGCAGGAAGAUUAUAUCACUGCGUCUGCCUAUGAAGACUUUGAUUACCUAUGAAGACCCAAGGAACUGUUCUCUCUCCAGCGAGCUGUUUCAACAGGCCUGUGUACCAGAUAUCAGCUGCAUGACCAGAGUUUGCAAUUUACCUAACUGCUGAAUUCAAAGCUACAAAGAUUCAUUUUUUAUGAGAAGGCCUUUAUCUUCUAGAAUGUAGAAUGAUGUUUUCUGUGGGUUUCCUUGGCUCCCUCCAUUCUCUCCAAUUCAUAUCAGUGAAGAAACUGCACAAAGAAUGUAAAACACACUUGUUGGGCCACAGGAUAAAGAAAAUCCACAAAUCUUUCCUUGCAUGGAUUUAGAACAUAGUAGACAGGGUAUACAUUCAGCUUAGUGAAUGAAAUGCUCCCCUUGUAUACCUAAUGGGCGAACGUUUACCCACCUAGAUUGACUUGUUAGCCAUGCUGGCUUACCCUGCUUACCUGAUUCCCAGGAUGUGAAGAGGAGAUUUUUUUCUCACCAAGAAAUAAAGUGCUGAACCCACAUCUUA